UCCAGACUCCUACGGGAGGCAGCAGUGGGGGAUAUUGCACAAUGGGGGAAACCCUGAUGCAGCGACGCCGCGUGAGUGAAGAAGUAUUUCGGUAUGUAAAGCUCUAUCAGCAGGGAAGAAAAAAGACGGUACCUGACUAAGAAGCCCCGGCUAACUACGUGCCAGCAGCCGCGGUAAUACGUAGGGGGCAAGCGUUAUCCGGAUUUACUGGGUGUAAAGGGAGCGUAGACGGCAAUACAAGUCGGAAGUGAAAUACCCGGGCUCAACCUGGGAACUGCUUUGGAAACUGUAUGGCUGGAGUGCUGGAGAGGUAAGCGGAAUUCCUAGUGUAGCGGUGAAAUGCGUAGAUAUUAGGAGGAACACCAGUGGCGAAGGCGGCUUACUGGACAGUAACUGACACUGAGGCUCGAAAGCGUGGGGAGCAAACAGGAUUAGAUACCCUUGUAC
rnacentral:rRNA from 1 species